GGAUCUGAGGGUGAUCUGGCAGGCUAGGCAGGAGUCCCCUUCCUCCCUCAGCGCUCCAGGUGAGUCCUUCCCAAAGCUGCAUGUGGGUGAUAGGAGGACCAUCCUUCGGUCAAAGGGAUACGAGUAGCUGCGCUCCCCUGCUAGAACCUCCAAACAAGAAGCAAAUGGCUCGUGUGGCACUAAGCAGACCGUUUCCAUACUUUAUUAAAGUGUACAAAGUGAAUCAACAUUUAUCU
rnacentral:snRNA from 1 species